UUAUUAUUUUUACAAAAAAAAUUGUACUGGUAUUAACUAUUAAGAGAAAGAAAGAAAGAAAGAAAGAAAGAAAGAAAGAGAAAAAUCUACAGCUGUAUGUACCAAACUGAACUCAUUAGCCUUCAAGUAUGUAGCCUUUUUGUGACACUUAGUGAACUGCAGAUAUCUCUUCAGGAACCAGUAGGAAAAGAAUGAAUGAGGUCAUCUUGUUUCUUUUUCGACGAUUGUUCGUCGAGUUUUAUCAGCAUAGUAACAGUGCUCUAUGGCUCAUAUCGUUCUUCUUACACAGGAUUGAUCCUUCCCUGUUGACAAUGUAGGUAAGAAAAACUGAGACACCU
rnacentral:lncRNA from 1 species